GUCGGUACAGGAAAUAGAGUCACUAGCGCCCCCUUCAUUUCCGGAAUGAAAUAGUCCCAUUUCCAUAUAAGGUAUGAGACUGACAGUUGUCCGUCCCCGCCCCAUUCUGUUUGCUGCAGCGAGGUGUACUUGGAGAUACUUGCGGACAAGAGGAAGAGGAGGAUAUUCUUCAUCUUUAUGACUCUGGACUGUAGCGCACAUCCUUCAGAACCGGCUAAAAGCAGCACUACACGGACUUUACCGCCAUAAACUUUGCAGCCCUUGGACAGCGGAGCGAGUUUUCACGGUGUAUUCGGUGCUAUUCAACAAACUUGGUUUGGAAAGAAGUAAAUACAAAUCUGCUGCACCCGUCGAAGCUCUCUGUGUUUCCUUGGGUCUGAGGGACUGCUACAGAGUCUGAGCCCUCAGCUGUUGAGAAACGAUUGUUUCCUGGAAGCAUGGUCUCUGUUUGACUUUGGAUCUGAUUUCACCCAAUUGCUAAUGUUUGGUCGUGACUUGCGUAAUGAACCAGCUCUAACUUGAAUGGAGCAGCACAAUUAAGCUGAAAGGAAAACUGGGUGAGCUGUAAACAGCCAUCCCUUCACUCCUAAGAGAGAAAUGUCGAGCAGAACAAGAUGGCAAACUUUGCAAUUCACAAACAGUGCAAAUAUUCAACGUUAUUAACUUCUUCUGUUCUCUGAUUGGCCAGGAUGAAAUGCAGCCUAAGAAGUUGAGCUCAAUGGGACAAAUCCAAGAUGGAGGACUGAAGUUGAUUGGCUGGAAGGGAUUUAAUAGGAUCAAGCCCCACCCACCAGGCGAGAGAGGGAGUUUGGAUGAGCACCUGCGUGUUCACGUCACUCUGAACCUCCUGUUUUAAUAGAUGCCACUUUCUGUUCAUAAACCACCUAUCUCUGUUAAGUUGUUUGGUCUGGGAAUCGUAAAAAUAGAUCAUGAAUAUCUGUGUUAGAGCAAUAUUGCUCCACUUAUUGUACAUGCUGAUGAUUUAUUUAGCCUGUUUAGCCAAGGAGUUCUGCCUUUGCAGGAUCAAUCCUAAAUUAUUGUAGAGCUCCAGGUGCGUGAAGCAUCAGGGUGUUCAGAACUUCCUGAGACCACGUUCAUAAAUUUUGCAACUGUUGUCUCAGCAAAGGAGAUAUUCUGAAAACUGAAGCUGAUCCAGAACUACCUGAGUGAUCUAUGGGAGCGGAUCACCUUGCCUCUCCUGCCAUAGGCAGUUUGAGUGAUGAGGCGGGUAAGCAGCUUUCCUGUGAGAACGUUAUCAGUGAGCUGGCAUUUGAGUAAGCCUGAAAGCAGACAUUUUGAGAAGAAUAAUAAACUAAAUUAACUGCAGACUGGUAUUUUUAAGUGAGCGGGUUUGUUUUGUUGCUAAAAGAAAUUCAAGUUUAUUGCAUUUUUUUAUUAUUAUUAUUAUUAUCCCAGGAAACAACCUGUGUUGAUUUCUACAGUCGAGUUAUGUUUUGAAGCACACUAGCAAGUCUGAGUGGUAUGUAUUAAAAAGGUUUUGGCUUGGCCUAAUCAAAAAGUUUGGACUAAAAAUUGAUUGAUUGAUGAGGACAUCCAUAGAUGAGGACAUUGUUGUUACAAAAAAAUUGUGACUAAUUUUAACAAGCCUGCAAAGAUAAAUAGCCCAUAAUUCCUACAUUACUGAUGUAAAAGACACACAGGCAGUUGUUUUCUCCAAGGGCGAGCAAAUGCUUUUCCACUUUAGGCAGGCUUGUUUGGACAGACUAGCAAAGACUUAUUUAUAGCAUCUGAACUACAUUUAUAUGAAAAUCCUGUGCCCACAUUUGGCUUUAACUCUAUCAAUAUGCUGACUUUGAAAGUCAGAAACCAAGUACUUGAAUAUCUUUUGCUGUUUCUUCUUAUGACGACAAUGGACCCUCUGUUGGACUAAUUACAGGGUAAAGGAAGUCAUAUGCAGUGAAACAUAUCAAAUCAACUCAGCGAUGGUUCAGUUCAUGAACCUUUCACAGCACAUUAAGCAGUUCAGUAUUUUAACUAACUAAAAUCACCAGAAUGAGUGAAAACACCAGUCAUACUCAUUUUUGCAGUCUUUUACAUUCUGCUUUGAAAGAAUUAUUUAAACACUUAAAAACAAUAAUAAGAACCCUCAAUAACAAUGGAAACAAUUUUUUUUAAACCAGGGUUAGAUGAGAGGGAAGUUCAGGAAGUAAACUUUUGUUUACUUUGUGAAAAGUAAACAAAAGCUUACUUUUGUUUACUUGUGACCCUUUUGUCACAAAGUAAACAAAAUUGUGACCCUUUUGUUGCAAUUUUAACCUAACUGAAGUCAUAAAAUCAAGAUAACAAUGCAUGGAAUCCAUACCGUGUUACCUGGAGCUGUGAAUCUUUGAUUGAGCUCAAACUGUUAUCACAGCAGGAAAAAAAACCCAAGUGCUUUCAUCCUUGGUCAUCCGCUGUUCUGCUCAGCGCACACAUCCAAACACACACUGAUGUCAGUCGAUACAGCAGGGCAGGCGCCUGCCAUGUUGUAAAUGUGUAAAUAAUUGUCCAUUGAGCCUUUUGUUGUUUCAGAGUAGACCUUUCAUUUGUCUCAGAAAGAAGCAGACCCAGGCAGUAAUUUGAGGUGCCUCGAACUGAAGGCACACCAGGCUUCACUUGCUAGCAGACUUCAGAGGCUCCUGCACUUUCGCUAUGAAAGGGAUGAGCUAGUUGGCUGAGAUCAGUAAUUAACUAUGACUCAAACUGAGCAUUGAGAAAAUGCUACUAACAAAGAGGAGACCGUUGUACAAUCUAAGUGGCAAUUAUCGCAAAUUGUCUGGCAACACAAUUGCCUCAUUGUUUCAAGUAGAUUAUGAAUAGAAGUGAUAUUCUCUAUGACUCCCUCCAGAUGUAGCAUUUUAAAUUUCUGUCUUUUAACGAAGGUUUAAAGUCUUAACAGCCUUUUUACACUGAGAUGCGUGACUCAUUGUCAAAACCUUUAUCAAGCCUGAGUGAUAUCCGAGUUCACCAACCGUUGCCUUCAGGCAAUGAGUAAGAAUUGGAAGACUUUUUAAAUGGCAGACUUUAGAAGAGGAAAUACACGCCAUGCAGGCAUCCUAUUAGGAAACCAGGCAAUUAGAUGAAAAUCUGACAAAAAUGAAAAGGUCAUUUUGGAGAAAAAAAAAAAAGCUGGUGUAGACUGUUGGAAGAACAGA